ACAAAGGGCAGGAAGUGUUUCCUUAUUCUCCCAUUUGACCACAAUAGAAUUGCAAAUGCAUUGAGAUCUGUUCCUUUCACAAUGGCAGGACAGGGACAUACAGUACACUCUUUCUCACACACAAAGAACUCGUUCCAAAAUUCUGACCAUAAUGUUGUUGAGCGGUACUACUUGGUAAGAAAGACGGAAAGCCUUUCUGAUUCUCACCUGAACACUCCAGCCAAUGAGAAGCUACCCAGGGCCCAUGCUUCCAAAAUUCUACAAAAUAUAAACCCUGGUGCACGAAACCACCAUAACUAUCCGGCUUGCCAUGUGAUUGAAUGCUGAACGAAACAACUAUGAAGGUGCUUUGGUUCCUCCUUUCCACUCUUUCAUGGAUAUAUCUAGCUACCCAAGUUUUCUGUCAAGGUGACUUUGGGCCUUAUCAGGCUGCUAUCGUCCAGUGUCUUCUCAGUUACGGAGGCUUAUGCAUAACCGGAUCCGAGUGUCCGCCAUAUUCAAUCAAGCCUACACGAUGCCAUCCAUGGGCUGUUUGCUGUAAAAGCCUGGUAGAUACGACUGAGAAAUGUGUAUCCAAAGGCGGAGUUUGUAUAUCCCCGUGUCCUUCUCGUUUAUACCAAAAUGGAGUUUGCAGCAAUGGCAAGGCAUGCUGCAUGAGGUAAGCAGCUUUCCCCUGUGUAUACUUUCAGUGUCACGAAUAGAGAUGGGCAUGGACU
rnacentral:lncRNA from 1 species